GUGCUCGCUUCAGCAGCACAUAUACUAAAACUGGAACAAUACAGAGAAGAUUAGCGCGGCCCCUGCGCAAGGGAGAACAUAAAUGGUAACAUAUCUCAGCCAUACUUUU